CUGGAGCCAAACAGUAAGUACUAUAGUGUGGGCCCUAAAACUUCAGAGAAGAGGAAUGACAUGGAGCUGAAUGAUUAUUGGCUAGUCCUAACUAAGGGAGUGAGGGGCUGAGCUGUGGGAAUGAAAAGAGUGGCAACUGUGACCUCAUGACAAUUGAAAACAGAGCAGUGAAAUAUGAGUGGGGGUUACGACGUGGACCUGUUUCUGGACGGUCCAGACUAUGACCUGCUCUGCACCAUCUGUAGAUCUGUCCUGAGGUGUCCUGUCAGAGUGGCCUGGAACCAUGUCUUCUGCAAGACCUGCAUCCUACAGUGGCUCAGGAGGUACAGUCCACUGGAUCAUGUCCUCAGUGUAACCUUAACUGGUUAUUCAUAAGAAAAGACAGGAGACACAUCCCUGCUGUAGGAAACCUAUCAGGUCCAGCUUUAUGUUUGUCAUGUACAAAUGGAGGGAAACUAUCAGCCGCCUCGGGAUUAAGUGUAACAAUGAUUGCUGCUCGGCCACCUUCCCUCUGUCUGAGGAGUUCCUUGGUGCACCGGUCAGCCCUGGAGCCAGCUCUGCCCCAUGGGCUGUGGUGCUCUGCUCACACAGGCCACCCAGAACCAACACAACUGCUUCAGGCGGCUGAAGCAGCAGGUGGAGUACCAGAGGCAGAACCACAGAGCCAUCGCUAGUGCCCUCCGAAGGAAGAUGAGGAGAAUGCAGACCACCAUGACACAAGUCAGGAGGCAGGUGGCACUCAUCUGUGAGAGUCUAGAGGUCAUGGGAGAGGCAUAGGGGGGACAGGAGGGUGAG